UACGGAGGGGGCUAGCGUUGUUCGGAAUUACUGGGCGUAAAGCGCACGUAGGCGGCUUUGUAAGUUAGAGGUGAAAGCCCGGAGCUCAACUCCGGAAUUGCCUUUAAGACUGCAUCGCUAGAAUUGUGGAGAGGUGAGUGGAAUUCCGAGUGUAGAGGUGAAAUUCGUAGAUAUUCGGAAGAACACCGGUGGCGAAGGCGGAUCUCCGGGCCUUACCUGACGCUGAGGCGCGAAAGCUAGGGGAGCGAACAGG
rnacentral:rRNA from 1 species